rnacentral:rRNA from 1 species
CGACCGCUGGCGGCGUGCCUACUACAUGCACGUCGCACGCUUCUUUCCUCCCGAGUGCUUGCACUCAAUUGGAAAGAGGAGUGGCGGACGGGUGAGUAACACGUGGGUAACCUACCCAUCAGAGGGGGAUAACACUUGGAAACAGGUGCUAAUACCGCAUAACAGUUUAUGCCGCAUGGCAUAAGAGUGAAAGGCGCUUUCGGGUGUCGUUGAUGGAUGGACCCGCGGUGCAUUAGCUAGUUGGUGAGGUAACGGCUCACCAAGGCCACGAUGCAUAGCCGACCUGAGAGGGUGAUCGGCCACACUGGGACUGAGACACGGCCCAGACUCCUACGGGAGGCAGCAGUAGGGAAUCUUCGGCAAUGGACGAAAGUCUGACCGAGCAACGCCGCGUGAGUGAAGAAGGUUUUCGGAUCGUAAAACUCUGUUGUUAGAGAAGAACAAGGACGUUAGUAACUGAACGUCCCCUGACGGUAUCUAACCAGAAAGCCACGGCUAACUACGUG